AGCAGCCGCGGUAAUUCCAGCUCCAAUAGCGUAUAUUAAAGUUGUUGCAGUUAAAAAGCUCGUAGUUGAAUUUCGGGGUUAGUAGGUUGGUCGUGCCACUGGUACGUACUGGUCUCACUGAUUCCUCCUUCCUGAUGAACUGUAAUGCCAUUAAUUUGGUGUUGCAGGGAAACUGGACUGUUACUUUGAAAAAAUUAGAGUGUUUAAAGCAAGCUAACGCUUGAAUACAUUAGCAUGGAAUAAUGAAAUAGGACGUUCGAUCCUAUUUUGUUGGUUUCUAGGGAUUGACGUAAUGAUUAAUAGGGGAUAGUUGGGGGGCAUUAGUAUUCAAUUGUCAGAGGUGAAAUUCUUGGAUUUAUUGAAGACUAACUACUGCGAAAGCAUUUGCCAAGGAUGUUUUCAUUAAUCAAGAACGAAAGUUAGGGGAUCGAAGACGAUCAGAUACCGUCGUAGUCUUAACCAUAAACUAUGCCGACUAGGGAUCGGAUGAUGUUAAUUUUUUUAAUUGACUCAUUCGGCG
rnacentral:rRNA from 1 species